UGAAGUUGGCUAAUUCGUCCACGCUCGCCUUACGCAGUUCUUCCAUGGCUGGCUUCCUCUGGAGCAAACUUAUCUCUGCUUCUGUCAUAAGGCGGUCGGCUUCCAGCCUCCUAGCUUGUGCGUCUGGCGAAUUUUUACUUUUAAUCUGUCUGUUCAUGUUCUGCAGAAACUGCGACGACACGCCAGAAACAGAAAAACGCUCUGUAUGUAUUUUCUUAUACUGCGACGAACAGACGCCAAAACGUACAUAUAGUAACAUAUCCAUAAUGCCCUACACCCACAUACGCAUGAAGCUGAGCUCCUUCACAAAAACGCGUUGAGUACAUACAAGAACUGUACCCGACGCAAUAAACCAGACAGUCACGAAUACUGUUUGGAGCCAUUGAGGUGCAGCUGACCGAAGAAGCACAACGACUCUCACAAAUGGUGCAACACAACACCUGGCUGGAGCUGAAAAAUGCUCUAAUAGACGAAUUCAAGAACCACACACCAUACGAAGAACUUCUGCGACAAAUCUACUUCACAAAAUUCAAAUAUAUAAUAAAAUUUGUGAAGGUUGCAGACCAAAAAUAAAAUUUAGAAUGCCUGUACUAAAAUUGUAUUAAGACAAUUUUUUUUGGGAACAGUCUUUCUUAUUUUAUCGCAACAAUAUUGACCCUUCCCCACUGUACGUGCGUUUCAGAGAACUGCAUGCAAGAUCAGAAGCUUUUAUCUCGAAAAGCUCUAUAUCUCUUUCUCUCUCUCUCUCUCGAACAUUGCACGUGCACGCGCCGUUCACAUGCAAGCUUUUCUCUCCGCAAGCAUAGCUUACGGCACUAACCAAAUAGUAUACUAUUUGGUUAGUGCUUACGGCCAUAAAGCAACUAUAUAAGGAGGCCUUGUCGGUGGUAGAGUUACUCGCUGCGUUACCCAAUUCCCAGUGCACGUUUGCUUGUCGACGCGGAACGUUGGUUGCGGACAACAUUUUUUUUUCAAUAUUUUUUUAAAUGUUUAUUUUUUUAGAACACAGGCUACUAUUAUGUAGCAAACUAUUAAAAAUUAAACUAUGAAACAAUUAUAAUGUUUUUUCACAUUGCCUUCAAAUGAUUAAUCAGCACACUCCAUUGUCGUUGCCCUCACACUUACAGCGAGAGCCCUUCCACUCGCACUUUCACUCGCACCAGCCCAUAAUUUUUUCCGACGAGACCUCCUUAUAUAGUUGCUUUAUGCUUACGGCUACAGCUUUUGGAGGGGGUAAAUAAGUUAGACUAAGUGCAUGCGGCACAGAGCAAAAAUUUGAUUUAAAGUUGAAAGACAUAAUUAAUGUGCGCAUAGAGAAUAUAUAAAAAACGUUGUGAAAAUUCUGCAAAUAUAAAAGCGAACAUAAAUCCCAGAAAAACAAUCUGAAAAGUUUGGUGGCUGCAGCGAUACAAAAAAAAAAACAAACCCUGGAUAAGGUACGCAAAGAAUUAAUGGAAAAAGUAACCUUAUUACAUAAUCUCAUGUAUAUACAUAUAAAUAGGUUAUGAACCACGUGGGGCAGUAUAACUGCUGACCUGGCCGUUCUGGGCCUGACCAUCGCUCUCGGACGUGGUCCACUCCAACAUCACGAUCAUCAGUCCCAUCAUUUUUUUGCUACAGCGAUCUCCUCAGUCUCUCCUAUCGAAAUCAUUUUAUAUAUAUAUUUUUCAAAGACAAAACUGUAAAAACCUAUACAAAAAAAAAUUUUUUAAAUUCAAAGCGUCAAAAUUAAAUGAAGAUAAUAAAGUUUUACGGGUCUAUGCGAACAUUCAUCGAGAAUAGGUAGGUAAUACAGCCGAUUACUAAUCCAGAUACAAAGGAUGCUAAGAAAAAAUACUUAAGCGGACGAUAAUAGCCUGGCGCCAAUUUAUCGUAUCCAGCGAAUAUCUACAAACUAUAGGAAACGAACAAGGUAAAAGCAUGCGAAAUGUAUCUGAGCAACGGAACAAAGGCUGUUUUUAAGCUUUUAUUUAUCCAGUACGCUAAGAAAUGCAUGUUUUGGGAUGCUAAUUGACUUCAGACAGGGCUGUGUAUUUAUAUUGAAAUUUACAACAGAUCCACAAUCUGUGCACAAGCAUUUACGGGAAGAAAUUAACAACGAAAUUAAAUAAACUGAAAUGUUCAAUAGUGUACUGGUCUGAGUUUAAGAAAUAAGCGAAGAGGCCACCGAAAUUCUGGCCCCACGUUGGGCGCCAAAAUAAUUGUAUGUAUACAUGUACUGUAGUAUAAAACGUUAUUGAGCUGGUGAAAGGUGAUGAGCUUCUGCGGGGCAGCGCUUGUUCCGGUAUGAAUCCGCUGCUCUAUCCGCUCGUCUAUAUACAUAAAGUUAAAGUUAAAAAUUCGCGUGCGAUGAACAAGUCGGUUUAUGAAACACUAAUGAAAAGAAACGGACAGAACAUAGACUAAACUCCUAGCAUCCAGACUUUUAUUUUGUGGUGCAAGAUGGAAACGCGGCCACGAAUGCCCUCCCUUUCAUGAUCGCUUUAAUCCAAUAAAGUUAAACGGCGAUCCUGUAUAAAAAGUCUAUGCCGCAAUACCUCUUCCUACGUUCCCUA
rnacentral:lncRNA from 1 species